rnacentral:rRNA from 1 species
CCUACGGGAGGCAGCAGUGAGGAAUAUUGGUCAAUGGACGAGAGUCUGAACCAGCCAAGUAGCGUGAAGGAUGACUGCCCUAUGGGUUGUAAACUUCUUUUAUAUGGGAAUAAAAUGUUCCACGUGUGGGAUUUUGUAUGUACCAUAUGAAUAAGGAUCGGCUAACUCCGUGCCAGCAGCCGCGGUAAUACGGAGGAUCCGAGCGUUAUCCGGAUUUAUUGGGUUUAAAGGGAUCGUAGGUGGAUUGUUAAGUCAGUUGUGAAAGUUUGCGGCUCAACCGUAAAAUUGCAGUUGAAACUGGCAGUCUUGAGUACAGUAGAGGUGGGCGGAAUUCGUGGUGUAGCGGUGAAAUGCUUAGAUAUCACGAAGAACUCCGAUUGCGAAGGCAGUUCACUGGACUGCAACUGACACUGAGGCGCGAAAGUGUGGGUAUCAAACAGGAUUAGAUACCCGGGUAGUC